AUUCCUAAAAAAAUGGAUGAAAAGAAAUAAUCUCUUUUUUUUCUCUGCUGUCAUGUUACUCUGCACACUAUAAAAGAAAAUCAUCAAUUUCAGAAAGAGAGCUCUAGCCUAUGGCAAAGAAGUGAAUACAAUACAAUAUAUUCAACUUAUGGCAUUCCGGUGGGGUUUGUCAUUAAAUGGAGACAAGAACUCUGGACCUGAAAUUCACCUUUCUGCAGCACUGAUAAUUGACUAGGGUUCUGGUACAAAUAGAAAAUCCUGAUUUAUACUUCUUUUCUGUUUGGUAACUUUUCUUAUCAUUUCUCUGCCUUCAGUUCAUUACUUAUGAAGCUGAAUGAGUGGAUUCUGCAAUAGUUUAUAAACACUUAUCCAUUGAUAUUCUGCCCAGCAUCCUGGUGUAAGAGAGGAACUUGGACUUAACCUGCCAGAAGGAAGAGAGAAGCAGAUUUUUCAGUCUGAAGGACCAACUGGAACAGGGGAAGGGAAGAAAGGAGAGACAGUUCUGAAGGAAGGAGAGAGGAAAUUAGAGAAUCUGGACAGUUGGGAACUGACUUCUUUCUGGGAUGUAUGGAUGAGUGAAUUGGAGAAAAACCUGCAACAGAGCCAAAGGAGUAAAGUUUGCAGAAGCUGUCAAUCAAGAAGCAUUCUGGAAUGGAAUGUGGCUGGAGGGAGACUGUUGGAAGGAAACAUCCAAACUGUUGGGAGUACUCUCUUUCUUCUGAGACAGAGUGACCUUUCUCCUGAGACAGGAAGGAAAGCCCAACAGAAAGGGAAGACCUGAGCAGACCUCUGGACCAGCAGCCUCUGACUGUGACUCCUAACCCAGAUUCCAGAGAAGACAAGCUGAGUGAAUAGGACUUCAAAAGGAAGCUGUUCACUAUAAGAAUUCCUCUGAAUCCCCUGAAGUCCUUGAACUUGUUAUAAUAGCCAAGGCAGCUAGAAAGUCAGGACAUCUUCACAACUGACCUGGGGCGGGGUGGGGUGGGGGGGAAUCAGGCACGCAACCCUGAUCUUGCCAGACUUUGGGAGAAGGGGUUCAAUUACUUCUAGGGACCUCCACUCCUUUCCCAAUCCCACAUUCCUCAAUUCUAUUGCCCUAUCCUUCAUUUGUUUCCUUACAAUAAAGAGCUGUUCAUAAGAGCA
rnacentral:lncRNA from 1 species